rnacentral:rRNA from 1 species
GACGAACGCUGGCGGCGUGCCUAAUACAUGCAAGUAGAACGCUGAAGGAGGAGCUUGCUUCUCUGGAUGAGUUGCGAACGGGUGAGUAACGCGUAGGUAACCUGCCUGGUAGUGGGGGAUAACUAUUGGAAACGAUAGCUAAUACCGCAUAAUAGCAGUUGUUGCAUGAUAACUGUUUGAAAGGUGCAAUUGCACCGCUACCAGAUGGACCUGCGUUGUAUUAGCUAGUUGGUGGGGUAACGGCUCACCAAGGCGACGAUACAUAGCCGACCUGAGAGGGGGAUCGGCCACACUGGGGCUGAGACACGGCCCAGACUCCUACGGGAGGCAGCAGUAGGGAAUCUUCGGCAAUGGACGGAAGUCUGACCGAGCAACGCCGCGUGAGUGAAGAAGGUUUUCGGAUCGUAAAGCUCUGUUGUAAGAGAAGAACGAGUGUGAGAGUGGAAAGUUCACACUGUGACGGUAUCUGACCAGAAAGGGACGGCUAACUACGUG